GGCCAAGUGGCGGAAUUAGAAGACGCGCGACGCUUAGAACGUCGUGUCCACCGGGCGUGGGAGUGCAAGUCUCCCCUUGGCUA
rnacentral:tRNA from 1 species